rnacentral:rRNA from 1 species
AUUGAACGCUGGCGGCAGGCCUAACACAUGCAAGUCGAGCGGAUGAAGGGAGCUUGCUCCUGGAUUCAGCGGCGGACGGGUGAGUAAUGCCUAGGAAUCUGCCUGGUAGUGGGGGAUAACGUCCGGAAACGGGCGCUAAUACCGCAUACGUCCUGAGGGAGAAAGUGGGGGAUCUUCGGACCUCACGCUAUCAGAUGAGCCUAGGUCGGAUUAGCUAGUUGGUGGGGUAAAGGCCUACCAAGGCGACGAUCCGUAACUGGUCUGAGAGGAUGAUCAGUCACACUGGAAGUGAGACACGGUCCAGACUCCUACGGGAGGCAGCAGUGGGGAAUAUUGGACAAUGGGCGAAAGCCUGAUCCAGCCAUGCCGCGUGUGUGAAGAAGAUCUUCGGAUUGUAAAGCACUUUAAGUUGGGAGGAAAGGCAGUAAGUUAAUACCUUGCUGGUUUGACGUUACCAACAUAAUAAGCACCGGCUAACUUCGUG